AGUGAACGCUGGCGGUAGGCCUAACACAUGCAAGUCGAACGGCAGCACAGUAAGAGCUUGCUCUUACGGGUGGCGAGUGGCGGACGGGUGAGGAAUACAUCGGAAUCUACUUUUUCGUGGGGGAUAACGUAGGGAAACUUACUCUAAUACCGCAUACUACCUACGGGUGAAAGCAGGGGAUCUUCGGACCUUGCGCGAUUGAAUGAGCCGAUGUCGGAUUAGCUAGUUGGCGGGGUAAAGGCCCACCAGGGCGAGGAUCCGUAGCUGGUCUGAGAGGAUGAUAAGCCACCUUGGAACGGAGACACGGUCCAGACUCCUACGGGAGGCAGCAGUGGGGAAUAUUGGACAAUGGGCGCAAGCCUGAUACAGCCAUACCGCGUGGGUGAAGAAGGCCUUCGGGUUGUAAAGCCCUUUUGUUGGGAAAGAAAAGCAGCAGGUUAAUACCCCGCUGUUCUGACGGUACCCAAAGAAUAAGCACCGGCUAACUUCGUG
rnacentral:rRNA from 1 species